AUUGAACGCUGGCGGCAGGCCUAACACAUGCAAGUCGAGCGGAUGACGGGAGCUUGCUCCUUGAUUCAGCGGCGGACGGGUGAGUAAUGCCUAGGAAUCUGCCUGGUAGUGGGGGACAACGUUUCGAAAGGAACGCUAAUACCGCAUACGUCCUACGGGAGAAAGCAGGGGACCUUCCGGCCUUGCGCUAUCAGAUGAGCCGAGGUCGGAUUAGCUAGUUGGUGGGGUAAUGGCUAACCAAGGCGACGAUCCGUAACUGGUCUGAGAGGAUGAUCAGUCACACUGGAACUGAGACACGGUCCAGACUCCUACGGGAGGCAGCAGUGGGGAAUAUUGGACAAUGGGCGAAAGCCUGAUCCAGCCAUGCCGCGUGUGUGAAGAAGGUCUUCGGAUUGUAAAGCACUUUAAGUUGGGAGGAAGGGCAGUAAGUUAAUGCCUUGCUGUUUUGACGUUACCGACAGAAUAAGCACCGGCUAACUCUGUGCCAGCCGCCGCAGUAACAC
rnacentral:rRNA from 1 species